rnacentral:rRNA from 1 species
UUUUAACGGCCGCCGUACCCUGACUGUGCUAAGGUAGCAUAAUCACUUGUUUUUUAAUUGAAAGCUUGUAUGAAUGGCUUGACGCAGGUAAAGCUGUCUCUUUUAUAUUAAAUAAAAAUUAAUUUUUAAGUGCAGAAGCUUAAAUGAAACCAAAAGACGAAAAGACCCUAUCGAGCUUGAAAAUUAUAAUUAAAUUAAAUUUAUAGUAAAAUAAUUUUUAAUUAAUUUUUUUUGUUGGGGCGACAAAAGAACAAAUAAAGCUUCUUUUCAUUUUAUAAAUUUAUAAAUUUAUAGAUCCAUAAAUUAUGAUUAAAAGAAAAAGCUACCGUAGGGAUAACAGCGUUAUUUUUUCAAAGAGUUCUUAUCGAAGAAAAAGUUUGCGACCUCGAUGUUGGAUUAAAGUAACUUUUAAGUGCAGAAGCUUAAAUAGUGGGUCUGUUCGACCCUUAAACCUUU